rnacentral:lncRNA from 1 species
GUUAUAUUAGUUGUUUAAACUUCUAGACGAAGUGAUCCAACAAUUAAAUGUGGAGAUGGGGGGAUACCUCAACGAAGCAAUCAUGGAAGAAGAGGCGAAUGGUGGCUGGACCAGAUACCGGCGCUUCUCUGAAUUGCAGGGAGGUUACGGAUGCAACAAGCUGGUCGACCAGAGGGCAGGAUUUGGCGUAGUAAUCGACAGAGAGUUGUCGUGGCGGCCGGCCAGUGGUGUUGGCCGUGGACUUGGGGAAUGAGUGUAUAGCCAAUGUAACAAGGAAAAGGAAAAUGAGCACGAAAAUGAUAACAGGGAAUGAAUUGGAAGAGACAGACAUGGCAGUUUUUUUUUUUAGAGAGCAAUGUUCUAGGACAAAUUAGCAAAUAUUAUUGAAGUGAGUGUCACUGGGAGAAAAAAACCUGUCACGUUAAUGAGAGAAUCAAAUCCCGUGACCGUGAGGCCCAGAAGUUGUGAAAAAUUAAAUUUUCACAGACACACACACACACACAAGCCCUCGUGAAAUGGAAGAAAACUGCAGGAAAAAGUAUAAUCCGUGUCAUAAAAGGAAUAAAACCAUGAAUGCAUUACUGCUCGACUUAUUUCCUCUAUUAGCACACAGUACUCAUUGGGCUAAACAGUAUAAUAAAACGACUAGAGAACUUCUUUUUCUUCUUCAAUAAUGUCUAGGAAUAUCAAACAUUCUAUCUUAAAAAAUAAGUUUACUGCAUUUUGCGUGGCUCUUUCUAAGAAAUUUAUUGGUGGACGGCGUAAACUUUACCCUUGUACAAUAUACCAUUUGCUCUUUUUGUUUGAUUAGAUAUUUAAAGUCCGAGGAUUUGUUGGUUUGAUAUCAGAUAAAAUAACACUGUUCAGCGAAAAGCAUCAUUUCAUUUUCACGGGCAUAGCCACCGACUUUAAUUUUAUAUAUUGUAUUAUUCGUAAUUUUUAGUGUUACUAAUACGCCCUUAGCAUGGAAGUGUACUCGAUGCUUGAACAUGGACUAAACUCACCGGCACUUUAUGAGCAUAAAUAGAAGACUUUGACAUGGCAUACUUUUUUUUGUCUGUUUUAAUAUCAUAUUGAUUAUUACGUCGUCUAGAGUCGCGAAAGAGAGACCUGAACACCAUCUUUAAAUGCAGUGCAUUGAGGAAUCUCACCAACUUAUUAACUACCUUUCAAUAUAAAUUUAACAAAAUAACAGGAAAAUAUGUCUCACCAAAUGGACGAAAUCUCUGGCAGCAAUUGCAAGUAUAUCUGCGCAGGAUACAACUCCAGGGCACUUGCUCUCCACCAAUGAUUUGGCCUUCUUUAUGCUAUCAAAUGCCUCCACUGCUAGUUCCUUGUUAUCCUCUGCGUCCUUCUCUGAUAAUUCUUUGCUUCCCAUUCUUGUUUUAAUAAGUACUGAUGCAUCACAUCCCUUAAGCAAAACCAUUCAUAAAUAAUUACAAGACAGCUUAAACUUGUGCGGGUUGUAUUAGUUGUUUAAACUUCUAGACGAAGUGAUCCAACAAUUAAAUAUGGAGAUGGGGGAAUACCUCAACGAAGCAAUCAUGGAAGAAGAGGCGAAUGGUGGCUGGACCAGAUACCGGCGCUUCUCUGAAUUGCAGGGAGGUUACGGAUGCAACAAGCUGGUCGACCAGAGGGCAGGAUUUGGCGUAGUAAUCGACAGAGAGUUGUCGUGGCGGCCGGCCAGUGGUGUUGGCCGUGGACUUGGGGAAUGAGUGUAUAGCCAAUGUAACAAGGAAAAGGAAAAUGAGCAC